GAAGCAUAGCUCAGAUCAUCGCGAUAUUGAGUUGUUGUAGGUUCAAAAAGCUCGUAGCUUGAUACCUCUGGGCUCGGAUGAGAGGCGCGCCUCACGCGUAACUGUCUGGGGCGGGCGUUUUUUCCGGGGGAACCCCACGCUCAAUACUGGAAGUUCACCUCUACCAGGACUUUUACCGUGCCCCAAUCUGAUCGCUUAAAGCAGUCCUGCGCUCCAAUGUACCAGCAUGAAAUAAUCAAAUAUGCCGUGUGAUUAUUCUUUGUUGGUUUCUUCGAGCGCAGGCCUGCUUUAAACGAUCUGUUUGGUUCAUCGUUAAUCUCCUGGUACCCCGGAAAUCCUUGUAUUGGGUGAAGACUACUUCCGGCGAAAGCGUCCGCCACGGAUGUUUUCAUCAGUGAGGAACAAAAGUUAGGCGAGCCAAAACUUCAACUACCAGCUUUUUAACCUAACCAACUUUAUGCCGACUAUGGGAGCGACGGUGUCAUUGUUUGACGGCUUCGGAUGCCCGGGGGAAAAAAAAGUG
rnacentral:rRNA from 1 species